UACGUAGGGGGGCUAGCGUUGUCCGGAAUCAUUGGGCGUAAAGAGCGCGUAGGCGGCCCGGUAAGUCCGCUGUAAAAAGUCCAGGGCUCAACCCUGGAAAGCCGGUGGAUACUGUCGGGCUCGAGUCCGGAAGAGGCGAGUGGAAUUCCUGGUGUAGCGGUGGAAUGCGCAGAUAUCAGGAGGAACACCUAUGGCGAAGGCAGCUC
rnacentral:rRNA from 1 species